rnacentral:rRNA from 1 species
UACGUAGGUGGCGAGCGUUGUCCGGAUUUACUGGGCGUAAAGGGAGCGUAGGCGGACUUUUAAGUGAGAUGUGAAAUACCCGGGCUCAACUUGGGUGCUGCAUUUCAAACUGGAAGUCUAGAGUGCAGGAGAGGAGAAUGGAAUUCCUAGUGUAGCGGUGAAAUGCGUAGAGAUUAGGAAGAACACCAGUGGCGAAGGCGAUUCUCUGGACUGUAACUGACGCUGAGGCGCGAAAGUGUGGGGAGCAAACAGGAUUAGAUACCCU